rnacentral:rRNA from 1 species
GUAAGGAAUAUUGCGCAAUGGACGAAAGUCUGACGCAGCAACGCCGCGUGGGUGAUGAAGCACCUUGGUGUGUAAAACCCUUUCAGUGGGGAAGAACCGUGCGAUGAGUAACUGCGUUGCACCUGACGGUACCCACAGAAGAAGUCCCGGCUAACUCCGUGCCAGCAGCCGCGGUAAUACGGGGGGGACGAGCGUUGUUCGGAUUUACUGGGCGUAAAGGGCGCGUAGGCGGACCUUCAAGUCGGAAGUGAAAACCGUUGGCUUAACCAGCGGCCUGCUUUCGAUACUGUAGGUCUUGAGUUCAGGAGAGGAAAGCGGAAUUCCAGGUGUAGCGGUGAAAUGCGUAGAUAUCUGGAAGAACACCGGUAGCGAAGGCGGCUUUCUGGCCUGCCACUGACGCUAAAGCGCGAAGGCUAGGGUAGCAAACAGG